rnacentral:lncRNA from 1 species
UGUUCCUUCACCACUUGCUUGUUCUUGUUGAAAAUUUCCUAGAUGCAAUGCAAAGAAGAUAUGAACACAAUGCUAACUUGAUUAAGGUGUCAGGGAUGUGACACCCCCCAUGUAUCUCGGCCAACAGCUCAACCCCUUCCUCUUGGGGAAUGCACUUCAGUUUCACACUAUUCAGUCGUCUUCUGUAUAGGGCAUCGUCCACGAAUUGGUACAUGCUGGACUGACGGGCUACUCUUUCUGCUUCUUCCUAUCCUUCGGGCAGAUCCCCAGUCUAGAGGUAAUGGACUAUGUGCUACGCCC